GUUCAUUAAAUACUUGUUACAUAAGAGUACUAUUUUGGGUUUUGGGUAUAUCAAGAAACAUAGGACAAGAUCCUUGACUUGAAGGAGCUGAGUCUUAAGUAGAGAGCAAGCAUCUCAACUUCUCAAAGGUAACUAGUAUUAUAACACAACGUGCAUUCAAUGCCAAAUGAGUCACACAGACAAGUGCUAUCAUAAGAAUUCCGUCAUAGCAAGAUAGGGGAAUGAGAGCUUCUCAUUGAAAAUGGAGGAACGGAACUGGGUCUUGUUAAUUCUUGGUCAUUUCAAGAUCCUUCCACCUGGGACGUUCUUUCCUUAGACUGCAUGUUUCACUCUCACUCUCUUCUUUCAGUUCUUUGCUCAAAUGUCACCUCAGAGUAGCUCUCCGUGACUGAAAUGAUGAAAACAAUCCUCUUCCCCACCACAGAGACUGUUUUCCCCUUGUUAUCUGAAAUUUAGUUAUUUACUUGUUUAUUGUCUUUCUCACAAUUCAUGAGAGCAGGAAGCUUGUCUCUGUUGUUCACCAUUGUCUAUCCAUUGCCUAAAACAUUAUCUGGCACAAAGUAGGUAUUCAAUAAAUAUUUGUUGGGUAAUGGGCCUUGUGAACCAAGAGGAACUUAGAUGAGAAGACAGAGUGGCCAUUCUACGCAAGGACGAUGGUCUGAAACACACAUGGCCUUAGAGAGUUCUUUUGAGUCAUGGUCUACAGACAGCUUUCUACUCUCUAUGUGAAAAUUUCAGUAAUACCUAGGAUGCUGAUAAUAUCACUGAUGAUCAGUGCAAGUGAUAGGGCUUGCCUCUAUAAUAAUAACCCCUGGCCAGUUUGGAGACAGUGAGCCUUCUGGAUCUGCCAGUUUUUCCUGAGCUCACAGAAGAAAGCUUGUCAAAGAAGACUUGAUUGGAUCUCUAGAAAUAAAAUUUUACAAGGCAUAAGACAAAUAAAAGUGUUGAGGAGACUUCCAAGCCAACUGGCUUAUUUUUCAGGAUUUCCAUAAACAAAAAAGAAAGGCUGAAAAUUAUGAUGAAGGAUGAAAAUGAAACCAAGGUCUAGUUUAUUAAGGUUGAUGAAAACUUUUUUUUCAAAACUAUAUUUUGAUACUGAUUUACUCAGAUUUCUCCCCAGCUACUGUUUGACAAGUAGUUAUCUGCCAGUCUUCUCUUCCCCACCAGGCCUGAGUGGACAAGAUCCCACAAAACUGCCAAAAAGCCACUGAAGGAAUUACAAAUCUGUAUGCUCUUCAUUCAUUGUCAUCUUUAACACUGCCCAGUCUAUGCCGUGACCUCAUCCCUGGCCUAGUCCGUUUGGGUAAUCUGCUUGUCUUCCCUGAAGAUUUGGAGGGAUUUUUCUUUCUGGAGCAUACAUGUUGGGCACUAAAUCCAUGACACUCAGCUGAAUGCUCCCUGCAGUACUUUGCUUCUUCUGUGUCCUCUUAAGUAGAAGCAGCUUAUCUUCUCAUCUCCAUCUAGUACAUGGCCAGGCUAUGAAAUUCUGGCAGGGUUGCCUGUUCUGAGCUCUGGAUGGGAUGUUUUCUCUGAGAGGAUUGUUUGGACCAGGGGAAGAGGAUGCCAUCUCUACCUACAGUGAUGAAGGAGAGAGAUGCAGACUGCUCUCAAUUCCUACUGAUUUAUCUGCCAUUACAAAAGAGAGAGAGAGGGAGAGAGAAAUAGAGUCAAGAGGAAUGAAAAAAAGGAAGAAAGAAGGAAGGAAGGAGGGAAGGAAGGAAUAAAGGAGGGAAGGAAGGAAGGAUAAAAUGAAAAGAAAAAAGAAAGGAGAACAAAGGAAAUGAAAUAAUAAGAAGAAAGAAAACAAAUGUUUUGUAUCCCCGGCUGAAGAAUUGCUUUCUUUUCACAUUGUGUUGGAGAUCUUAUGCAAUCCUAAGACUGUAACCACUGCCACUACUCUGAUCAUUCCCAAAUUUCCAUUACCAACCUGUCAAGGCCUGUGAAAAGUUUGAGAGUUCACCCCACUUGCAAGCUAACAAGUUAGCCUGUCACAGUUUCACAGAUGCUGUCAAAAGACACAAGACUCUUGGGUCGGAAACAAGUGACUUUAUUACUCAAAACACAGCAAGGUGAGUAAGCUUCAUAUUCAUGCCAGUUCCCUUUUCCCACUCAAGUCCAGUGGGGGCACUGUGGGGAGGCCCAGUGGAUGCUGCACAUGCAGUGGGUUUGCAUCACAAUAGAGAAACCCUGAGCUUAGAAAACCCCAAACUUUUACAGUGGCCUACAAGCAAAGCUGUCCAACCUGUGCUCCAGAGGGAGACAUUAUCUUUGUUAUACUCUAAGUUAAGAAAACAUGCCCUGUACUCCAGAGUGAGAGGCUAUCUCUAUCUUCAAGGCUGUCCCCAGACAAACAUCCUUGAAAAGAUAUUGGGAGAACUAAAAGCUGUCAAUAGCUCUCCCUGAAAGAUGUGCAGAGAUGUUACAGACCCAUGGAGAAUGGUCUCUCAACACAGCCCAGCUCUCUUUUCUGAAUUCCAUACCCACAUAUACAACUUCCUACUGGACGUCACCACCACAAUGUCAUAAAGGCAUUUCAAACUCAGAUCACCAAGAGUCAACUUCUCCAUAACUCUACUGUUCCUUUUAGCUUCUAUUUUAGUGAAUAACAACUCAUUCAACCUAUUCUGAGAUCUGGGCUCGUCCAGAUGCCUAUCCUUCCUCAUCUCAUACCCCAACUCCACUCCUAGCUAAUCAGUCACCAAGUUCACUUGAUUCAGUCUCAUUCAUAUCUUUUAUAGCUGCCCACUCCCCUCCAUUCUCACAGUACUGUCUUAGGUCAGGCCCUUACCAUCUCUCCCCAGCUGUUAAAAUCCUAUUGGUAUCCUAUCAUUCCAGGCCGUUGUCCACACCCCCACCAAACAAAUCUUAGUGCUGUUGCCUAUGAAAUAAAAUGUAAAUUUCUAUGUCACACAAUGCUACUUGAAUUCAGGCCCCACCUGCCUCACUCUCCAUCCUUUUCUCUCUGCUAAUUGCAUUUAUUUGUUUGACUUUUGGACUCCUCCUACUAAAAUACAAACCCGUCAAUUUCACGGACUCUCAGUUAUUUGACUUUGAUUUUGCCAAAAACAUAGUGGGCACUGCAUACAUCUUUACUAGAUAAUUAUUUAUUGAGAAUCUAUUAUGUACAAAGUUGUAUAGUUGUAUGCUUUUUAUUUCCAGCGUUUGUGUAUUUCACUAACAUUUACAGAUGAAAUUUUAGACAGACUAAACACAAUUAUGGACCAACUAUUUUAUUAAAACUUUAAAACCUUUAAGGGAAGACACAUUUAUAUUUUAACACCUCCACUUGCCAAAGGGGCAUUCUAUAAAUAAUGUUUACUAGCCAACCAACUAUUUUUACUAGCAAACUGACACACAUUUAUAUGUGUGUAUAUAUAUACAUGCAUAGGUUUUGUUGCUGUUGUUUGAUUUAGAGCAGUGUUUCUCAACCUUGGCAUUAUUCGCAUAUCCUUGGCAGGAUAAUUCUUUGUUGUGGGGGCUGUUUUAUGUAUUGUAGGAUGUUUAGCAGCCUUUCUGCUUUCCACCCACCAGAUCCCAGUAGUACCCACCCCUAAGCCAGUUUUGACAGCCAAAAUUGUCUCCAGACAUUGCCAUAUGUCCUUAGGGGACAGAAAUGCCCCCAGCAUGAGAGUCACUGAUUUAGAGCCACUGCUUGGCACUUUUUAGCUCUCUAGAAAGAAUUCCAACAGAGUGGAGGCUAUGUACAAAUUUCUCUAAAACUGAUAUUUAAGAAUUAGUAGAAAAAUACAUUCCAGCCAGAAAAUAGUGUACUUUAGUAAAAAUGAGAUAAAAUGGUUCACAGAAUAUGCAUAUUAAUGAAUGAGAUAUUUACUAUGUAGAACAAAACAAGUGAAGAGUAUGAUGCUCCCCAAACCGUGUAGUGGGGGACCACAUGAACCGUAUUAACCAUAUGACUGACUGUCUUUCUCAAGCCCAUAAAAGAGAUUUAUACCUUCUCCCCUUUUGUAGAAUAAUCUAGCUAUAUAUCUAAAGUGGUUUUUUUAUUUAGAAGAUUGUUUUUCUUGGCUAUUAAAAUUCUUAUGGCAUUUUUAUUGCCAUAGUCAAUGUUUAUUUAUUGUAAUGCUAAUAAAUGUUUGUGAGUUUGGUUGAUCUUUUCCAGUAGGAUGGUUCAAGAAUGAUUUUAACAAUUGAAGUUUGCAAAAGGAUUGUCAUCAUAUACCUUCUCCCCUUUUGUAGAAUAAUCUAGCUAUAUAUCUAAAGUGGUUUUUUUAUUUAGAAGAUUGUUUUUCUUGGCUAUCAAAAUUCUUAUGGCAUUUUUAUUGCCAUAGUCAAUGUUUAUUUAUUGUAAUGCUAAUAAAUGUUUGUGAGUUUGGUUGAUCUUUUCCAGUAGGAUGGUUCAAGAAUGAUUUUAACAAUUGAAGUUUGCAAAAGGAUUGUCAUCAUAUUGUCUAAUUUUUCUUGGUAUUUUGAAUAAACGUCUUUAAAAUUGCUGAGAUAUUAUGCUCUAGAAAAUGACUUGAGUGUUCUGCAAUAACAGCUUUUCAUUUGGGUUAUGAGUCUUAAUAUUCACUUACAACAUCAACUCUAGUAGUUUCAAAUA